AUGGCGGAGAUCCCCCAUGGAUUGCAGCUAGGCGGGGGAGCAACACGCAUGGACCAGAGGAGGGGCAUAGGGCUAGCGGCGGGGCCGUUUGAGAAGAAGAUGAAAUGGAGGACGUGUGGUGGAGAGAAAGAGAUCACAGAGGGGAUUGGGGUUGGGGGAGGAAGACUAACAGAUGACGAGCGGCUUCGGGAAAUAAGAGAAGGGAAGCUGUUUCACGCAGCCACGCGCUCCCAUGAUAGAAUUGGCGGCGCGGCCAUGGCAGCACUCUUGCUCCCGGACGACCUCCUCCUCGAGAUCCUCAUCCGCGUGAAGGAUGCGGCUGCCCUGUUCCGAUGUGCCACGACGUGCAAGCAGUGGUGCCAUCUCAUCGCUGACAAAGUGGUUUUAACUCGUCUUUCAUCAAAGUGGCUGUUUAGCGAUGCCAUUGUGUGCCGUGGCAUGGCACAAUGGGUGUUUUUUCAUACCGGAGAACAUUACUUUCACGUCAUAAGUCUGAAUGCCCGGACCGGCGACAUCUCUACAACGAAGCACCGUUUCAAAACGAAAUACGAGUUCCUCCAGAGUAACCCCUUCCUUACUCUAGCCAUGGAUGAGACACUGUCACUGCUAAGUACUCGAUGGAAAUUUCCCCGAGUGGAUAUCUGGCAACAAGAGAACCAACGAAAUUUUGGGGAGACUUCCGAAUGGUUAUGCACCCGGACCAUCGAGCUAAAACAACCUAAGAAGAUUACUCGGGGAAGAGAGCUGCAUGUCUUGAGGGAGAAGUGCGGCACACUGCUCAUCAGCGACGACAUCAACCGCGUUUACACCGUCGCCCUCGAAACUGGGAUGAUGGAGGAGCCCCCGUCACAUGUUGUCUACUUGCCCUUGCAUGUCUUUGCUCCCGGCACCGAAGCCAGGGUCGCUAGUCUCCUCUGGUUCACAGAUCCCAGCAUCGCCAAUGUGUGGUAUGUUGCAGACGCCGCCUUCUUCUCGCUAGCCGGCCCUCCUCACCUCACGGAUGAAGGGACUGACACGUUUGGUGUAGCCGCCGCCAUUGGAGAUGCCACCUUCUCCAUUCCCUUUGUCGUCUUUCCCGUUGUUGGCUCCGCCAUUAGCCCCACCCCAAGCGGAGGAGAACACCGCCGGUCAGAGUCCAGGGCUGCGCUGUCGCCAGAUUGUCCAUCUUUUUGGAUGACAAUUUUAGUCCAGGCCAGAUUGUUUUGUGCCACACGGGAAAAGAAAAAAAAAGGGAAAUACGCGUCCCCGAGCAGAAAAACAAGGCGAGCAGACAGACGGCCCAUUCCCCUCGAGCUCCCCGCACCCACACACCCUAACCCUAGCCGCCACACGCCGCCGCUCCGCCGUCGCCGUCUCCUCGACCCCGCCGUCGCGCCGCAACCCCUGUCUCCCCCCACCGCUCCCACGAGAUCAACGCCGUCCCGAGCCCGACCUCACCGCCGUCCACUGCCGCGAGGUCACCGUCGCCCUCCCCGCGGCCACCUGACCUACUCCGAGCCGACCGCCGCCCCCUUCCUCGACCCCGCCGUCGCCCUCCCCUUCUCCCAAGGUGAGCUCCGCCAGAUCCCUCCCCCGUCCCUUCAAUUUUCGUCGAUGCAAAGCUGCUCUGCUGCGUGUGAUUUUGAGAUGUUGCCGAGCCAGUGA
rnacentral:rRNA from 1 species